CAGUCGCCGCGGGAAUACGUAGGUGGCAAGCGUUGUCCGGAAUUAUUGGGCGUAAAGGGCUCGCAGGCGGUUUCUUAAGUCUGAUGUGAAAGCCCCCGGCUCAACCGGGGAGGGUCAUUGGAAACUGGGAAACUUGAGUGCAGAAGAGGAGAGUGGAAUUCCACGUGCAGCGGUGAAAUGCGUAGAGAUGUGGAGGAACACCAGUGGCGAAGGCGACUCUCUGGUCUGUAACUGACGCUGAGGAGCGAAAGCGUGGGGAGCGAACAGGAUUAGAUACCCCCGUAGUCCCUGUCUCUUAUAC
rnacentral:rRNA from 1 species